AUGGGGAGAGCAUCUUUAAACAAGGGAGAAAAGAAGAAGGGGUGUGUGUGUGUGAGUGUGUGUGUGUACAUCUCUGUGAGAGUGAAGUGUGUGUGCCCCUGUGUGUUGGGGAAUGUUGUAUGUGUAUAGAUAAUGUCUGUGUGUGGGUUUGAGUGUGCAAUGUGUGUUGGGAUGUGUUGUGUGUGUGUGGAUGUGUCUGUGUGUGGGUUUGAGUGUGGAAUGUGUGUUGGGGAUGUGUUUGUGUGUGGAUGUGUCUGUGUGGGUUUGAGUGUGGAAUGUGUGUAUUGGGGAUGUGUUGUGUGUGUGUGGACGUGUCUGUGUGUGGGUUUGAGUGUGGAAUGUGUGUAUUGGGGAUGUGUGUGUGUGGAUGUGUCUCUGUGGGUCUGAGUGUGGAAUGUGUGUUGGGGAUGUGUUGUGUGUGUGGGCGUGUCUGUGUGUGGGUCUGAGUGUGGAAUGUGUGUGUUGGGGAUGUGUUGCGUGUAUAUAGACAUUUCUGUGUGUAGGUGUGAGUGCAGAGUGUGUGUACAUGUGUG
rnacentral:lncRNA from 1 species